rnacentral:rRNA from 1 species
UACGUAGGGUGCGAGCGUUAAUCGGAAUUACUGGGCGUAAAGCGUGCGCAGGCGGUAAUGUAAGACAGUUGUGAAAUCCCGGGCUCAACCCUGGGAACUGCAUCUGUGACUGCAUUGCUGGAGUGCGGCAGAGGGGGAUGGAAUUCCGCGUGUAGCAGUGAAAUGCGUAGAUAUGCGGAGGAACACCGAUGGCGAAGGCAAUCCCCUGGGCCUGCAC